rnacentral:lncRNA from 1 species
CCAAGCCAACUUUCAGUGAAUGAACAUUUACUGAACAAGAUGGUAGGGAUCAAACUCGAACAAACAAGGGAUCCUGCCCAGUAAAGCUUCUGCAGCCCCUGGGAAAGACAGAGUUAUGUACAAUUGUGAUAACGGAGAUAAGCAAAGGUUGCUGUGGGAAGCAAAGAGCGCACACCUCUGGAGGGAAGGAGGCGGGGCACUGCCUCCAGGACAUGCCCCUGGAGCUGAGCUGAGAGGGGUGAAACUUUCCAGGCAGAGGAAGGUGAGAUGAGGCGAUGCUUUCUCAGGGACCUGCACCGUCUAUCCACAUGCAAUGUAACACUGGAAAAUCCCAUUCCGACCCCAUGCUUCAGAAACGCUGGCAGAGAGCAUGAAGUGCUCACCCUCCCUGGGACUUGCAGGUGCCGGCCCCCUUGGGCAACUCAGGAAAAUCAAGGCAGGCCCCUUUAUUGCAUGAGGGCAUUGAAGUGUCAGAACUACCUUUGGGUCUGAUAGUCUGCCCCAAAGGCAGGGGAUUAGCAAUUCCAACCCUGUCUCGUGGGGAGCUGUGGAGAGAGGGGAGCUGGAAUCCCAGGGAUGGCAGGAAAUUCAUUCUGAGGACAUUCAGAGCCACAAGACCCUGCCCAUUCCCAGGCAGUAGGUUUAGGAUUCUCCAAAUGGCCUCUGGCCUCAUUUUCAGAAAGCUAUUGGCUUCUUAAUGGAAGGUAUUAUUAGAACCACGUGACCUUUUGGGGCUAGGAACAACCAUAGGCACUGGAAGGUUGAAGGUGGGGCCAAGAAGCUAAGGCUACAAGACCAUCAUCGAUGGGUA